rnacentral:lncRNA from 1 species
AGGAAAAGAAGAAAGGAGAAUGAAAGAAGACUGUUUUUGGUUUGUUUUGGAAUAGGGGGAAGAAAUCUCUAUUUAUAGUGCUAGGAAAGAAUAAAAUAAAUAAAAGAAAUUAAAACCAAUCAAUGAUUUUAACGUUGCAAAAUUAAUUGAUAUUGAAAAAAUUUGAAUGUUGGCAUACUACAGUUGAGCAACGUAUCUUUUGCAAUAAUAUAACAUUAUUACAACAAUCCCCCACUUAUUGCAAAAUAAAGUUGAAAGAAAAGAUAAAACUUUUAUUUUGGGUCUCAUAGGAUGUAAUGCAUGAGAGCUGGUAUAACAAGGUAUAUGAACCAAAGACACUUGACAUGUGUUAGAGGUUUAUCAAUC